rnacentral:rRNA from 1 species
CCCUUAGAUGUUCUGGGCUGCACACGUGCUACACUGGCAGGUUCAGCGAGCUUCAUGCCCUGAUCUGAAAGGAAUGGGAAAUCUUUUCAAAACCUGCCGUGCUUGGGAUAGAUGUUUGCAAUUAUUCAUCUUCAACGAGGAUUGCCUUGUAAGCGCACGACAUCAGCGUGCAUUGAAUACGACCCUGUAUUCUGUACACACCGCCCGUCGCUCCUACCGAUUGAAGUUUUCGGUGAGUUGACAGGAGGAUUUUUUUGAAACUGGUUCGCCAGUGGAUUUUAGAUCCAAAUGCCAACGAAUCGAUGGCUUUAGAGGAAGGAGAAGUCGUAACA